AAGGUGGGUGACAGUCUAUCCUUAUUGGCUCAUUGGUGUGUGAUUGUCACCCACAAUAGCCUAUUAGAAUCGGUGUUCGCGGGUAUUUAAGCCUGACGGUAUGUCAUUUGGCGUGCAUCAUCGCUAGGACCGCCCUCUUCCGGAUUUCAUCUGCACCUGUGUAGUGUGCGGUGAAUGGUCAUUUGAUGUUGCGCUGGGUUGCCGGCUGUCCAUUUGCAUGUCAGCUGUGAGAUUUUUCUGGGGAUGUGUCUACCUGCUUGAG